CGUCACUUACAGCAGCAGUACAAAAGAAUUCCAUCAAUUUUUUAAGAAGCCAUCAACACCGAUGCACAAAGGAUAAACAAGGCUUCCAACAAACUUAAGUUCCAAUUGAAACUCCAGUAUAUCAUGAGCGAGGUGUAAUACAUCGAAAUCUCGUUUAGCGGAUCAUAUAUAAACUUGCUAAGUCUUAUCAUAAGCUGGAAUUAUACCUUUCAAAAUUAAGCUUCCGAUUCUUCUGCCGAAUCUACCUCAUUCUCGUUCCAUCUACGUAGAAGUGCUGAAGCAGAUCUAGUAUUAUUCUAGAUUGAAAAUAGCUAAAACGGACUGGAACUAGGAUCUUAAAAAUAUUUGAUAUUAUAGUUUAUACUGUGUACGUAGAAGAACAAUUAUGAGAAAGACUCCGUUUCGUUGUUUUGAGUGUAUCGGCGAAGCGUGCAAUGUACCAGCCGCACUUUUGUCUACUUGCAACUCUACAAUUAACUGCUGGAAAUCUUCUUUUCGAUAUAACGACACCAAGGUACAAUUUGCUCGCGGAUGCGUCUCUACACAGAAACAUAACCAAGAUAUUUGUAAUAAUAUAACACAGGCGAUGCACGUCGAUUAUCGUUAUACAUGCUGUGACGAAAACUUCUGUAAUAUAGGAGAAUUUCCUACACUAUCUGAACGCCAGGUUUCCUUAAUGUAUUAUUUAUUUUUCACAACGCUAAUCGCCAUAGGUUUCCUCUUACUAGUCGGAGUUGUAAGAAUAGUAUAUAAUUAUGAGAAACGCAUGAGAUUUGCAUUGCCGCCAAGACGACCAAGCGAGAUAGACUUGGAUGACAUGUCUAUGCAUCUGUGAGUCCAUACUGAGCAAAUAAUGAAUGUGUUGGGGAUCUACAAUUCAAAAGACUGCUGAAUAACAAACUCAUCAACGCGUUGGCCAAUUUGACAAGUUAACAAGACACUUUCUUUUUUAUUUGAAACAAUUUUUUUGAAGAAACAUUUCUUUUAUUUUUAAUAUUUCUUUAAUAUACCGGUGCCUUAUAACAUAGCAAUAUGUUGAAUUGUUGAAAGCCGAAAUACACAUUCCAAUUUAAUAUCAACUAUCAUUACAAUCCAAAUGACGAAGAAUAUUCUGUAUAAUCUGGAAAAAAUUAAUUUUUAUCGAUAAAUGUAUGAGUUUAAUUCACAGGCAUAUUCAUUGUAAUUAAUAAAAGUCUCUGCAUUAAGUGCUCUAUUUUAAUAUAUAAAACUAUAUGAAUACGCAUAAUUGUUAGUGAAUGUCAAAUUUAAAUGAAUAUCCAUUCAUCAAAACUCAAAGUAAUAAUAAUAAUUAAUAAUAAUAAUUAA